CAAUUUCCAAAAAUUUAAUUCAGAAAAUUAAAACCAAAUACCAUUCAACCUCAAAAUACCUGCUAUUCAAACUUAGCCUAUAGGUUACCAAUACAUUAAUCAACAUUGCAUAAUAUACUUGGGAGAACAAAAAUAAUUCUGAAUAAAAUAAUAAUUCCACAUUUCUGCAAAGGUUAAUCUACAAAAUCACGAGCAUUGCCAAUAAAAGUUACAAAUUGAGAAGCACAAAAUGUUGAUUUUCUCACGAGCACAGGGAUGGUGCUUCCCAUCAGUCGCUCCAAAUAAUACACAUUUGGGCGUCCAUGAGAGACAAUAUUAACGGUAACUAGGCCAUAUCAUCUCUCUGCUGGAUGGGAUUAAUUAUAGGAUUCCUAUUUCCCUAAUCCACUCA